AGGCUUUCUGGUGGGUCAAUUCUAUUGUAGAAUUGAGUGAUGUCUGGGACAUUGAUUUACACACUGUAACGAUGUGAAAGAUUUAUCUCAUGGCAUUUAUCCCACAGAUUAUACAGGAUAGGACUCUGCUCUCUCCAUAAAGGCUCUAGGAACUUAGCUAUAGAGCAAUGUUACUAAACUAUCCAGAAGGACAAUAGGAAGAAUUAGGAAGACCCUGCCAUGAAGAUCCCAGGAGAGCAGUCCGGGUGCCCCAAAAUAAAGAAGGCAUUACCAGCGAAGGAGAAGGCCAUGAUCUCUUGGAGUGACUGCACCAAUGCAUAUUCCUACCAACAGUGCACAAAGGUUUUCUUUUGCAACACUUGUAAUAUCUUACCUUUUGGAUACUGGCCUUUCUGACUGGUGAGUGAAGGAGUGACUUAUCCAAAUGGGAAAGGAAAGAAGUAAUAUGUGGCUCAGCCUGUUGCGCACUCUCUGGCAGAGCUCCUUGUCCAGAGCACGUGCUCAUCUUGUGGAGGAGGCCAUCCCACCUAAAGUUUAGCAUUAGCACAAGUACAGCCAUUUUAGGUCCCUGUGAAUAAGAGCUGAACCUUAUGGGAAAAACUGCAGAAUGUCCUCAAUGUCCUCGGCAGGUAAUCCCAUAU